AUUGAACGCUGGCGGUAUGCUUAACACAUGCAAGUCGAACGGUAACAGGCUAGCUUGCUAGUGCUGACGAGUGGCGGACGGGUGAGUAAUGCGCAGGAAUCUACCUUUUGGUGGGGGAUAACUUGGGGAAACUCAAGCUAAUACCGCACAGACCUGAGAGGGUAAAGCGGGGGUCGCAAGACCUCGCGCCGAUGGAUGAGCCGAAGUCGGAUUAGCUAGUUGGUAGGGUAACGGCCUACCAAGGCGACGAUCCGUAGCUGGUCUGAGAGGACGACCAGCCCAACUGGGACUGAGACACGGCCCAGACUCCUACGGGAGGCAGCAGUGGGGAAUAUUGGACAAUGGGGGCAACCCUGAUCCAGCGACGCCGCGUGUGUGAAGAAGGCCUGUGGGUUGUAAAGCACUUUUAGUGGGGACAAAAAGCCGAGGGCUAAUACCUUUCGGUCUUGAUUUAACCCAAAGAAAAAGCACCGGCUAACUCUGUGCCAGCAGCCGCCGUAA
rnacentral:rRNA from 1 species